rnacentral:rRNA from 1 species
CCUACGGGAGGCAGCAGUAGGGAAUAUUGCUCAAUGGGGGAAACCCUGAACCAGCCAAGUCGCGUGGAGGAUGAAUGUUUUCGGAUUGUAAACUCCUUUUUUUAGAGGAGAUAAUGACGGUAUCUAACGAAUAAGCACCGUCUAACUCCGUUCCAGCAGCCGCGGUAAGACGGAGGGUGCACGCGUUACUCGGAAUCACUGGGCGUAAAGAGCGCGUAGGCGGGUUAGCAAGUCAGAUGUGAAAUCCUAUGGCUUAACCAUAGAACUGCAUUUGAAACUGUUAUUCUAGAGUUUGGGAGAGGUAGGUGGAAUUCUUGGUGUAGGGGUAAAAUCCGUAGAGAUCAAGAGGAAUACUCAUUGCGAAGGCGACCUGCUAGAACAUAACUGACGCUGAUGCGCGAAAGCGUGGGGAGCAAACAGGAUUAGAUACCCCAGUAGUC